rnacentral:lncRNA from 10 species
CCACUCACUUCCAAGCCCUGAGGAGCUCCACAACCUAGAACCAGGAAGCGCCUACAGAAUCCGUGAUAUUUCUGCUACGAGUUUCUCUAGGAACCACACUUUCCUAUUUCUGGAUCUUUUGUCUGUUGCUGCUUCUGGACCUGAAAAUGCCUUCUCCUCCCUCCUCUUUGUUAACUGCCAACAUCACUAAUUCCUGCUCUUCCUCCAGGACCCCGCUUAGACGUCCCUCAUCUUGGGAGCCUUCCCUAAUAUACCAGGAGCAAGUGUUGCUGAAAACCCAUACUCUCAGCAUGGAAGAAGAUAAAUUCAGAUGUUAAACUAGAAGAGAUGAAGUUAAAAUCCUAUAGUCCUGAUUUUGAAUUGCUUAUGAAUUGAUGAUGAAAUGUAUGUUUUAGAACAUACAGUUUCCUGAAGAACAGGAGGGAUAGCUGGAGAGGGGAUAGGAGGGAAGCUGGAAGGGGUUACAAAGAGGCCCAAAUAAACUUUUGGGGGUGACA